rnacentral:rRNA from 1 species
AUUGAACGCUGGCGGCAGGCCUAACACAUGCAAGUCGAGCGGAUGAAGGGAGCUUGCUCCUGGAUUCAGCGGCGGACGGGUGAGUAAUGCCUAGGAAUCUGCCUGGUAGUGGGGGAUAACGUCCGGAAACGGGCGCUAAUACCGCAUACGUCCUGAGGGAGAAAGUGGGGGAUCUUCGGACCUCACGCUAUCAGAUGAGCCUAGGUCGGAUUAGCUAGUUGGUGGGGUAAGGGCCUACCAAGGCGACGAUCCGUAACUGGUCUGAGAGGAUGAUCAGUCACACUGGAACUGAGACACGCUCCAGACUCCUACGGGAAGCAGCAGUGGGGAAUAUUGGACAAUGGGCGAAAGCCUGAUCCAGCCAUGCCGCGUGUGUGAAGAAGGUCUUCGGAUUGUAAAGCACUUUAAGUUGGGAGGAAGGGCAGUAAGUUAAUACCUUGCUGUUUUGACGUUACCAACAGAAUAAGCACCGGCUAACUUCGUG